UACGUAGGGGGCAAGCGUUGUCCGGAUUUAUUGGGCGUAAAGAGCUCGUAGGCGGUCUGUCACGUCGGCUGUGAAAUCCCGAGGCUCAACCUCGGGUCUGCAGUCGAUACGGGCAAACUAGAGUAUUGCAGGGGAGACUGGAAUUCCUGGUGUAGCGGUGAAAUGCGCAGAUAUCAGGAGGAACACCGGUGGCGAAGGCGGGUCUCUGGGCAAUAACUGACGCUGAGGAGCGAAAGCGUGGGGAGCGAACAGG
rnacentral:rRNA from 1 species